rnacentral:rRNA from 1 species
UACGGAGGGGGCUAGCGUUGUUCGGAAUUACUGGGCGUAAAGCGCACGUAGGCGGAUUUGUAAGUCAGGGGUGAAAUCCCGGGGCUCAACCUCGGAACUGCCUUUAAUACUGCAAAUCUCGAGUCCGGAAGAGGUGAGUGGAAUUCCUAGUGUAGAGGUGAAAUUCGUAGAUAUUAGGAAGAACACCAGUGGCGAAGGCGGCUCACUGGUCCGGUACUGACGCUGAGGUGCGAAAGCGUGGGGAGCAAACAGG